UACGGAGGAUCCGAGCGUUAUCCGGAUUUAUUGGGUUUAAAGGGUGCGCAGGCGGACGAUUAAGUCGGUGGUGAAAUUUUGCAGCUCAACUGUAAAAGUGCCAUUGAUACUGGUUUUCUUGAGUGUGGAUGAAGUAGGCGGAAUUUGUGGUGUAGCGGUGAAAUGCAUAGAUAUCACGAGGAACUCCGAUUGCGCAGGCAGCUUACUAAACCAUAACUGACGCUCAGGCACGAAGGCGUGGGGAUCAAACAGGAUUAGAUA
rnacentral:rRNA from 1 species